rnacentral:tRNA from 1 species
GUGGGUGUGGCUCAUCUGACAGAGCACCUGCCUUGAAUGUAGGAAGCCCUGGGUUUCAUCUCAGCACUACA